AGACUCGGUUUGAUAGAGUCUGUUCAUGAGUUCAAUGCUAGGUCACUGUGAAUAUAUGCCAAACACCGCCUCCCCGACCGUCCGGUCUGUAUUUCCUUUGCACGUUGUAAUAAGGUAUAAGUAUUUCAGAGUCCGGCACUGAUGAAUCUAGCCUAGUUUCAGACAAAAAAUGCCAGCUAGGUUGUAUUUCCUGGCAAGUAGGCGGUUUUUUUUUUUCCAAUUUUGGUAUCCAAGUGAAUAAAAUGUAAACCUCGUUUUCACUGAAAAUUGUCACCAGUAGUAAAAGAUGGUUAUCCAUUUUCAUUAUGGACAUGGCCUGGGCUCGGAUGUACAUUACCGCAAAGCAAAACAGAAAAAAGUGGAAACUCCACAAGUCGCUCAACAAAAAAAGUAGAAACUCCAAAGGUCGCUCAACACGACAAAACAUUAAUUCUCCACUAAACAUGCAAAUUAGUGAAAAUCCAGUCCCACGUGUGCAUUUGCUAAUACAACUGUAACAAUGUAUGUUUAAACUUUUAUACAUGUCAAACUAUUUUACAGUAAUGUACAGUAAGUAGAAUCAUAUCAAAUUAUAAUGCGUUUGACACAUUUGAGCGAACAACAACUUCAUAAUGUGCUUCAUAACGAUUUUGCCUUGUCCCCCGCUCGGAUGCAUACAUUUGUACUGAAAUAAUGUUACUUUACUCUUGUGUAUGACAAACAAUAAGCUCAAUUUUCCUACCUAUUUGUUUCAAAAAUUGAGUGGAAAGACAUUUUACCUGUAUAAAAAGGCUUUUGCAUAAAGUGUGGCUGCUAAACUUUUGUCCCUUGAAAAUCGGAUAGAUACGUUAACAAACUUCGGAGAAGCCAGAGAACCACAUGCAUGGACCUGAUAUGCUUUAAUAUUAUGUUUUAAAAUCUAUAAGUUGUUAUAUUUCUCCAUGUAAUAAUCAAUUUUUUUACCAUGCAAUUGCAAAAGCAAUGAUAUUGUCUAACAGACGACAUUAUAUGAAUAAUUAUUUAAAUCGAAAUAGAUACGUUACUACUCUUUCCAACCAAGUAUAAUUUACCAUUACAAGUCCAUUUGAAAUAUGGAUACACAUUAAGCAUUCACACAUUUUCUACGUGACUGAAGGACUUUUUUGUAAAUGUGACAAUAAAAAUGGAUCUUUAGAUUAAUUUUUCUUUUUUGCACAAUAGAUAAGUUACAGAUAGAUACGUUACCGAUUUUUAUUGAUCGAGCCUUUGGUUGUCUUUUUCACGUGUUUUAAUAAUGUUGUGUGAUUAUUUUUCUGUCACAGUACGCGAGGGAUGCUAAAUAUUGUUUUGAUUAUGAUUAUUUUACUUAAAACUUGGAUAUUAAACUGAUAUGAACCUGGAUAACAUGGUAAGUGUAUUUUUUUCUAAAGCUUCGUAUACAAUAAUGAAAAAAAUGAAUAUUGUAUUUACCUGGUAAUAUUAUAAUAUAAAUAUUUGUCUAUAUUAGAACUUGAUUACCAUGAUUUGCAGUUAAAUCAAAGAACUGUGCCAAUGUCACUAUUGGUAACGUAUCUAUCAUUUAUUGUAAAGUUCCAUAUUAAGUAGUGCGUUUUACUACAGGAUACGACUAGAUAUUCUUUUAUAUUUUUGUAUAGAUUAUAAAAUUUUAACAGUUGAUAAAUUUCUAAUAUUAGUUAUAUCUUUGAUUCAGAAACAGGGCCGUGUUAGGGGCAAUAAUUAGAAAAUACAUAACCAUUCUAUGCGUCAUAAUGUUAUAAUUUGGAAAUUAAAAAUAAACCGAAUCUAAUUUCAAUUUUUUUUAUAAAAAUGGCAAACUCAGAGCCGAAAUGCAUUGGCCUUGCCAUGAGAAAAAGAAAGUUAAACAUCACAAAUCUACAUCAACUAAUGGUUUAUAGGAGAAAUCAUGAAAUGUGAAAUUUGCCUCAUUUCUUUAGCUGAUAUGGUCAUCAAGCAUGGUGUGAAGAAUAAGUAGCAAAAACAAAAACUUGCUGACGACUUGUGGGUUUCAUUAACUAACGUCAUUUGUAAUAUAGCACCUCUACAUUUAUUGGUAGAUCACAAAGGACCAAGCUCUUGAAUUAAUUGAAGCUAAGUUAAAAUUAUUCAAGAAUAGACAAUAGAUACGUUACCGCCACUUGAAACAUUAAAAUUGAAAGUAUGUGUCCGUUUUUUAAUCUAAAACUACUUCUAAACACUUACAUUAAAUAUUCUUAUUAUAUAUAGUAGUGUUAGCAAGUUAAUUUAUUUUCAUUGUUCAUGGUUUUAAUAUUUCAUAUCUUUCUAAAUUAAUAUUAUUAUUUGAAUAGAUACGUUACCAUUUCAAUGACUUUUGAUUACAAAUAGUGAUUUGAAGAUAUGUUAACAAUUUUGUUCAGGCUAAAUUAUGUUAGCUUCAAUACAUUAAAUGUUUUAUAACAUGAGCAUAUGCAUGUCUUAUUUAGUCUAUGUUAAAAACAACAUGGGGGCACAGCCAUAUGAAUUAUAAACCCGUGAUAAUCGAAAACUAGAAUCCUAGGUAAAAUAUCGAUUUUUAAACUUUAAAUUUCUCUUUCAAAAUGUUGAAAGCAAGGCUCUGAUUGGUCCAGUGCGUAGCAUUAAUAGGAGAUGGUUUUAUUCAGAUUGAAAUAAUAAUAUAAAUGAGAACAGAUGACAUAUAAGCCUCAUUAGUAGAAUCAUAAACUCGAAAUGCAGGUUACUGUUAUCACUCCACCCCGAAAAAAACAAGGACAAAUAUCAAAAAAUGGAAAUGCCAUGUUCAAAAAACGCAGCCUCCCCAAAACGAAACUCACAGCACGCAGACGUGCACACUACAAACACACUCGCGUACAAAGGAAACACACGAAGACAAAAUAAGUAGUUUCAUAUUCUGUGCCAUGGCCAGUUAUGUAUUUGUGUUUACAAGAAAGUAUGAUGAAAAUUGUAUUCUUUUCUUCCCUUACAGAAGAUGAAUGGGAAUCCUGCUUACAGUCUAAAAACGAAAGUCAAAUAAAGAAACUCAUUCAGGAAAACUGUAUUCCAAGUUUAAUACAUCUCGAUGCUGCAUACAGAAUCUUUAAGCGCUCUUCUGAACUUCUUGGGGAUAUCUUUGCAUUGGUUUCAGAGUACAUAAAGAAGCAGUCACCACACAUACUUCGAGUGUAUGCGGCAUAUGAUGAUAGAAAGAAUUCGGAGAGCAACUAUUGUUUUCUUGUAUUUACAAGGCAAUCUGAGGCAGGGUUAAAACCCUUGAAUGUAGUAUAUCCAAUAAAGAUCGUGCGUAUUGAAGACUGUAGUGAAGAAGACGAAGAUGUUGUAAAAGAAAUUUUGAUGAGCCACGGCCCACCUGUAAACAUAAGUCAUGUUGAAAACAAUCUGAAUAAAGUGAUAUCGGACCAUUCCGAACGACUAAUGAAAGAGACAAAAAAUAUUACAUUGAUUACCACUAGUAUGUACAGAUCACAAAACUACCAACGUGGAAACCCCCCAUGUUUAGUAAAUGAUCCAUGUGUAGUUAUACUUGUCAUGCAUAAGAACUGGAUACCUAUUGGGAGUAAGCCUCUGCCUCGGGAAAUCAACGGCAUACCAGUGGAUGUACGAGAAGGAAUUGCAGUUAAAUUUAGAGGAAAACUUCCUUCAGAAAAACACGACAACGUACGCAUUGGUUGCAGAAUUGAAAGCAGUGGUCUUCCUGGGUCCGGCCAUUCAUCCUGGGUUUGCAAUGCAGGCACUCUUGGUGGAUUUAUACUUGGUUCAAAUUCUACUAUAUAUGGAUUUACAUGUGCACACAUUCUUUUUCCUGACAAAACGUUGAAGGAAAUGCAAAGAGAUGAGAAAAUUUAUAUUGGAGAGGAUUUAGAGUUGAGUGUGAUGAAACAGAAAGAAGAAGUAUCUAGGCUCGACAUAAUUGUAAAACGUCUGGAGGAAAGGAAAGUAUACCAAGCCAGCUGUGAAAUGGAUGAAUAUCUUGGCACUGUUGAGAUGGCAUUAUACGCACUAGGGAGUACAUUUGAUUAUACUGGAGUUGAUUUUGCCGUCGUGAAAAUUGAUGCAGAACGGAUUCCAAACACAACUGAAUUCCCAUAUGUUGAUGAUUCAGGAACGUUUAAGAGAGUUAUACUUAAAACAGAAACAGAAGGCGCUUCGACAGAAAGGGACUUUCGUUUUAAUUCUGGAAAGAUCAUUGACGAAGAUUUGAAAUGUGGAGAGGAAGUUAUUAAGUACGGAUGUAGAACCCUACUUACGACCGGGAUAUUCCUAGGGAAAAGAACAUUUAAUAAUAUUGACGGUGAGACAUGGUAUGGACAGUGUGAAAUUGUUUCUAAUAGUAGUUUUGCAAAAGAAAGUGAUUCCGGAUCUCUUGUAUUCAGGCAAAAAGAAAGCGAUUUAGAAGCUGCUUGUAUUCUUUUGGGUGGCACAAGAGUUCGAUUUGCAGCGACAUAUUUUCCUGACAUACUCGAAAGAACAGGUUUAAAAGACAUAACGUUUCUCAAAUUCGAUAGCCCAGAAACAAAGGAAUAAAGACAACUGUCUGACGAAACGAUAGAUAAGAUGUAAUAAGAGAAGGUGUUUCUUUCUGCAGUCCAAAAUGUAGAAAAUAUAUCGUGUUAAGGUUGUAGAAUCGUUUAUCUUUCUACCGGUAAUGCGUGCAGUAAAAUAUUUCGCUGUACGUAUUUUUACUGUACGGAACACCUUCAGUGACAAGACAGAAUAACAAUGUACGUGCGGUGUGGAGGCUGAAAAAUGUCACCCGUUCUUGGAGUCAGUUGCUAUAUUGACGUAUUGGAUCAAUGGACUUCAUCCUCUUCUGCAUAAAAAGAGUUCCAGUUAAGUCGGUUUUAGGGACAGGUGGUAUUACAAUCCCUGCUUGGUUGUGUUCUAAAGCUUAGAAAGUAUCUUCGAGAGACAUAAUUUACUUUCAAAGAUUCAGCCGUAUGGCAGCCAUAAUAAGUUGCCAUUACUAUUCUUCUAUUUCAUAAAAUCCGCUCUGCGUUUAUUCGUUACAGAGUUCAGUUGAAACCAUGGCUUACUUCAAGCCGGAAUUUGAGGCUUGAUAUUCGUAGGAAAUUUCAGCUCACGAACCCAAUGAAACAGUUAUGUAGCCUUUCUUAGGGGUUGGGGGCAUCAUACAUUUGUACGAGCAUUGUCCCAAGGAAAGCUUCAUCCGUCUAUCUGUAGGGUAAAAUAUAAGACAGCGCGCACAUUUUGUAACGCGAGAAUAGAUUUAGUCAUGUAAUAUCGUCAUUAGCUGUAUAUAAUGCAAGAAAAUACUCUAAUCUAUCUGGUAUCGUGAUCUUAUUUUGAAAUGGUUGGCUAGAAAUAUGAACUGGCAUGUCUGUCUACGGUCACAGGAGUUUUUCCAACCCUCAAUGCAAGACAGAUAAGUUGCUUUGCAAAGCAACUUUGCUAACAUUUGGCUGUCCCCAAAGCAGUCUUACCACGGCAGAUACGUAAAAUCUUUUAUAUAUAUAUUUGCUUUGGUAGCCUUUAAGACAAUACUUUCAAGGCCUCUUUAUAGAGAUGUUAUCAGUUAUUUUUUGUUAUUUUAAUGAAUACACAACAAAAAUAUUAUAAGAUAUAUAAGAUUUUUUUUUAUCUUUUUCGUCUUGAUACAUUUAUAUGGAUAUUUUUUUUUGUUUUCUUUACGAGAUCACAUUAUUUAUUUUAUUGUCAUAAAUCGGAAAACUGUGUUAAAUAAAGACACGAAAUUAAAAGUAAUGAGUAUGUCACUAAUGUGGCACCAUAAGACCAGUUACAGGU
rnacentral:misc_RNA from 1 species